rnacentral:rRNA from 1 species
GUAAAGCACUUUCAGUCGUGAGGAAGGUAGUGUAGUUAAUAGCUGCAUUAUUUGACGUUAGCGACAGAAGAAAGCACCGGCUAACUCCGUGCCAGCAGCCGCGGUAAUACGGAGGGUGCGAGCGUUAAUCGGAAUUACUGGGCGUAAAGCGCAUGCAGGUGGUUUGUUAAGUCAGAUGUGAAAGACCCGGGGCGUCAACCUCGGAAUUGCAUUUGAAACUAGGCAGACUAGAGUACUGUAGAGGGGGGUAGGAAUUUCAGGUGUAGCGGUGAAAUAGCGUAGAGAUCUGAAGGAAUACCGGUGGCGAAGGCGGCCCCCUCGGACAGAUACUGACACUCAGAUGCGAAAGCGUGGGGAGCAAACAGGAUUAGAUACCCUGGUAG